rnacentral:rRNA from 1 species
AUUGAACGCUGGCGGCAUGCCUUACACAUGCAAGUCGAACGGCAGCGGGGGAGAAGCUUGCUUUUCCUGCCGGCGAGUGGCGAACGGGUGAGUAAUACAUCGGAACGUGCCCUGUAGUGGGGGAUAACUAGUCGAAAGAUUAGCUAAUACCGCAUACGACCUGAGGGUGAAAGUGGGGGACCGCAAGGCCUCAUGCUAUAGGAGCGGCCGAUGUCUGAUUAGCUAGUUGGUGGGGUAAAGGCCUACCAAGGCGACGAUCAGUAGCUGGUCUGAGAGGACGAGCGGCAACGCUGGGACUGAGACACGGCCCAGGCUCCUACGGGAGGCAGGAGUGGGGAAUUUUGGACAAUGGGCGAAAGCCUGAUCAAGCAAUGCCGCGUGUGUGAAGAAGGCCUUCGGGUUGUAAAGCACUUUUGUCCGGAAAGAAAUGGCUCUGGUUAAUACCUGGGGUCGAUGACGGUACCGGAAGAAUAAGGACCGGCUAACUACGUGCCAGCCGCCGCCGUAA